UUUUUUUAAAUAUUUAUUUAUUAUGUAUACAGUCAGUGUUCUGCCUGCAUGCCAGAAGAGGACACCAGAUCUCACUGUAGAUGGUUGUGAACCACCAUGUGGUUGCUGGGAAUUGAACUCAGGUCCUCUGGAAGAGCAGCCAGUGCUCUUUACCUCUGAGCUAUCUCUCCUGCCCCUGGGACAGUUUCUUAAUACUAAGAAUCCCUCACAGUGUGUAGUAUAAGACUGCAUUACCUUGAUGUUGAAGAAAAGCAAUAUUGUGUGUGCGACUAGAGUGGCUAUGAUCUAACGAAUCUCUGAAAGUAAGGCUUGUGGUACACCCUGGAAAGCAUCAGGAACCCUUCUAGUGUGGUAAGCCCCUGAGGAAUGAAUCACUCAGGGCUGGAGUUUGUCACGUGGACUGCAUUUUCUGGGGGAAGCUUUGUAAAACCAGCUCUCUCAAAAUUCUCUAGCCCCAAGCAGCAAACGAGACUGAUUUGUUCAGUAAUAGGCAUGUUCCACUAUGUUCACAGCUGGAAUGGUCCAGGGAUUAUGAUAACCUUCAAGUUUGUAGCCUGAGAAUGAACGGGCAUUCUCUGUAGAUGAGUCUGGACAGCUCUCAGGUCUUUGAAGAUUUACAGUUCUGGCCAGCCACUCACAGCAUGUCCUCACAGCCUGUGACAGGUGAAUUGGUGGACAUGAUGAUCAUGAUCAAGGUUUGGAGACUUUUUUUUCUCUCUGAUGUAGAUAAAGGUGCCUGCAAGCAUCAUACUAUGCUCCCUCCUUGUCCAGCUGCUGGUUUGUUCUAGAGUUAUUCACCACGUUCACGGGGCAGCUGGCCAUUGAGGAGUGAACAACGCAGUUACACAGAUUCAAUGCUCUUUACUAUUAUUUAUUUUAACAAAUUCUGCUUCACAGUUUUAUCAUCUAGGGAGAGUCUGAAAUACUUUUCUACGCCACAGUUGAUGAAAUAGUGUAACAAAAAGCAAUAUCCGGGAGAAAGGUUUAUUUGGUUGACAAUUCCGGCUUGCAAUCCAUCACUGCGAGAUGAGCCAGGAACUUGAAGGCAGGUCUGUUGGCUAUUCCAGACAGUGCAUUCAUGCAGUUAUUUGCUUUUUCUCUUUGCAGCAUCUGGUACAAGGACUGACACUCACAUGUUCAAGGUCUGGGUCACAUACAGACUCUUUUCUCAAAUGGUAAAACGUGGGGGAA
rnacentral:lncRNA from 1 species